ACGUAGGAGGCGAGCGUUAUCAGGAUUUACUGGGCGUAAAGCGCGUGCGGGCGGUGCGAUAAGUCGUGCGUGAAAGCUCCCAGGCUUAACCGGGAGAGGACGUGCGGAACUGCUGAACUGGAGGCAGGUAGAGGCGUGUGGAAUUCCGGGUGUAGUGGUGAAAUGCGUAGAGAUCCGGAGGAACACCGGUGGCGAAGGCGACGCGCUGGGCCUGGCCUGACGCUAAGACGCGAAAGCAUGGGGAGCGAACGG
rnacentral:rRNA from 1 species